rnacentral:rRNA from 1 species
AGAGUUUGAUCAUGGCUCAGGAUGAACGCUAGCGGUGCGCCUAACACAUGCAAGUCGCGCGAUCGAACCGAACCAAUUACCCUUCGGGGUAAGCGGAUCGGCAACGGAGCGGCGGACUGGUGAGUAACACGUGGCUAACCUACCCUCUUGACGAGAAUAACCCUUCGAAAGGAUGGCUAAUACUCGAUGUUGUUUAAGUUCGAUGGAUCCUAAACCAAAGGCGGUUCUGCCGUCGCAAGAGGAGGGGGCUGCGCCCUAUUAGCUUGUUGGUGAGGUAACGGCUCACCAAGGCAAUGAUGGGUAGCUGGUCUGAGAAGAUGAUCAGCCUCAUUGGGACUGAAAUACGGCCCAGACUCCUACGGGAGGCAGCAGUGGGGAAUCUUUCGCAAUGGACGAAAGUCUGACGGAGCGACACCGCGUGAGGGAUGAAUGCUUUCGAGUUGUAAACCUCUUUUCUGGGGGAAGAAUAAGGUCGCGAGGAAAUGCGCGUCCGAUGACGGUACCUCAGGAAUAAGCAUCGGCUAACUUCGUGCCAGCAGCCGCGGUAAUACGAAGGAUGCAAGCGUUAUCCGGAAUUACUGGGCGUAAAGGGCGUCUAGGCGGUUGAGCAAGUCACCUGUAAAAGUCCACGGCUUAACUGUGGAAUGUCUGGUGAUACUGUUUGACUUGGGUACAGGAGAGGAGGGUGGAACUCACAGAGUAGCGGUGGAAUGCGUAGAUACUGUGAGGUACCCCGAUGGCGAAGGCAACCCUCUGGCCUGUUACCGACGCUGAAGCGCGAAAGCGUGGGGAGCGAAGGGGAUUAGAUACCCCCGUAGUCCACGCCGCAAACGAUGUUCACUGGGUGUCGGUCAUUAAUUAGAUCGGUGCCGGAGUUAACGCAUUAAGUGAACCGCCUGGGGACUACGGCCG